UUAAUAGAAGCCAAAAAGAGGCUAUUCACUGUUAAUGAAUAUACUGAUUUCAUUAAAUCCUAUUAAG